rnacentral:rRNA from 1 species
UACGGGGGGAGCAAGCGUUGUUCGGAUUUACUGGGCGUAAAGGGCGCGUAGGCGGCCAGCACAAGUCAGUUGUGAAAUCUCCGAGCUUAACUCGGAACGGUCAACUGAUACUGUGCGGCUAGAGUGCAGAAGGGGCAACUGGAAUUCUUGGUGUAGCGGUGAAAUGCGUAGAUAUCAAGAGGAACACCUGCGGCGAAGGCGGGUUGCUGGGCUGACACUGACGCUGAGGCACGAAGGUCAGGGGAGCAAACGGG